rfam:Aphanizomenon flos-aquae 2012/KM/D3 spades_112_len:31609, whole genome shotgun sequence.
AUCAAGCAAGCCGUGCUGACCAGACCACCCUGAGCGUAGUCGAAGGGUAGCCGUUAUUUGAGUCACGACACCCCGGAAUGCGAAGCUAGUUCCCUGCUCUGUCAUUUGCAAUUAAACAGUUUUAAGGUCACUGAAACAGUGUUGCAAGUCUAACAAGCUCUUAUAACUGGUCGAAGCUAACAUCAC